UACGUAGGGGGCAAGCGUUGUCCGGAAUCAUUGGGCGUAAAGAGCGUGUAUGCGGUUCGGUAAGUCGGCUGUGAAAGUCCAGGGCUCAACCCUGGGAUGCCGGUCGAUACUGCCGGACUAGAGUUCGGAAGAGGCGAGUGGAAUUCCCGGUGUAGCGGUGAAAUGCGCAGAUAUCGGGAGGAACACCUAUGGCGAAGGCAGCUCGCUGGGACGUUACUGACGCUGAGACGCGAAAGCGUGGGGAGCAAACAGG
rnacentral:rRNA from 1 species